GACGAACGCUGGCGGCGUGCCUAAUACAUGCAAGUAGGACGCUGAAGGAGGAGCUUGCUUCUCUGGAUGAGUUGCGAACGGGUGAGUAACGCGUAGGUAACCUGCCUGGUAGCGGGGGAUAACUAUUGGAAACGAUAGCUAAUACCGCAUAAGAGUAGAUGUUGCAUGACAUUUGCUUAAAAGGUGCAAUUGCAUCACUACCAGAUGGACCUGCGUUGUAUUAGCUAGUUGGUGGGGUAACGGCUCACCAAGGCGACGAUACAUAGCCGACCUGAGAGGGUGAUCGGCUACACUGGGACUGAGACACGGCCCAGACUCCUACGGGAGGCAGCAGUAGGGAAUCUUCGGCAAUGGACGGAAGUCUGACCGAGCAACGCCGCGUGAGUGAAGAAGGUUUUCGGAUCGUAAAGCUCUGUUGUAAGAGAAGAACGAGUGUGAGAGUGGAAAGUUCACACUGUGACGGUAUCUUACCAGAAAGGGACGGCUAACUACGUG
rnacentral:rRNA from 1 species